rnacentral:ncRNA from 1 species
AUGAAUUCGGUGAUGAGAAGAGUAGUGUUACGGAUGAACCCAGAAAGCGAUUGGUUGAUGUGAAAUCGUUUCGUUCAAGGCAUGAAGAUGAGCUCGGAGAAAUGACGUCGGUGCAAGCUGAUGCCACGGUAGGAACCGUUAUCUUCCCUGGUUUAUCCGCUUAAGUGCGGCGAACUGUAGAGGUGUAUUUGGUGACAAGUACAUAAAUUAGGGUGGUAACACGAUUAAAGUCGUCCCUAGC